rnacentral:rRNA from 10 species
AACAAGGUUUCCGUUGGUGAACCAGCGGAGGGAUCAUUA